GAUGCUGGUGGCUCAGUUGGUAGAACAUGAGAACCAUGAGGCUAUAGUCCUCAACACAGUUGACCUGGGUUUGAUUCCCAGUCUCAGGUCA